UACAGAGGGUGCGAGCGUUAAUCGGAAUUACUGGGCGUAAAGCGUGCGCAGACGGUUGCGUAAGUCAGAUGUGAAAGCCCCGGGCUCAACCUGGGAAUUGCAUUUGAGACUGCGUAGCUAGGGUGCGGAAGAGGGAAGCGGAAUUUCCGGUGUAGCGGUGAAAUGCGUAGAUAUCGGAAGGAACACCAGUGGCGAAAGCGGCUUCCUGGUCCAGCACCGACGUUCAGGCACGAAAGCGUGGGAGCAAACAGG
rnacentral:rRNA from 1 species